rnacentral:rRNA from 1 species
GAUCAUGGCUCAGGACGAACGCUGGCGGCGCGCCUAACACAUGCAAGUCGAACGAGCGAGAGAGAGCUUGCUUUCUCGAGCGAGUGGCGAACGGGUAAGUAACGCGUGAGGAACCUGCCUCAAAGAGGGGGACAACAGUUGGAAACGACUGCUAAUACCGCAUAAGCCCACGGGUCGGCAUCGACCAGAGGGAAAAGGAGCAAUCCGCUUUGAGAUGGCCUCGCGUCCGAUUUG